CUUUAUUGGCAUACUCAUUAUUUUUAUUUUAAAAACUUCAGACUUUUUUAUCUUCCUUUUUUAGUCUUUAGACAGUUACACUACUUAGACAUGCUAGUAAAUAUUCCAAUUGAUUUAGGUUCAAGAACAUGAACAAAUACACGUUUAUGAUAGAAUGCACUCAUACACUAUACAAAACGCCGCAUAAUAGCUGAAUUAAACAAAUAUUCAUAAGAUUGCUACGCGUAGUUCACCAAAAGACUGUAAAUUCAUUUUCCAUUGCAGACCUGUAUGCUUUUAUACACCGAGACGCAAAAAAUGAUUUUUUUGAAAAAUAUCUGUUUUUUGUUCACACAUCAGAAGACAAUGAACAACUGAACCGUUGUCAUUCCAUAGUUCUUAAAAACAUAUUCUUGUGUUUCACAAAAUAAAAAAAAUAAUCAUAAAAGGUUAGAACGACCCGAGUGUGUGUAAUUGGUCAGAGAAUGUCCAUUUUCUGGGUAAACCAUCCCUUUAAAAAAAAAUAAAAAUUCCCCCCCAGAUGCCAUAAUCCCACUCUGUUAGCGCUGUGACUCGUGAAUAAUUCAAAUAAAAAGAAUAUUCUUCGUAUCAUCUGUGGACCCGAGUCGUGAAGGUCUUUUACGCAUUUUCUGUGUGACCCUCUCCAUCCAGCACGCGCAGCCCGCCGAGUGACGUCAUGCAGCACGUCCGAAGCGCGAGGCUGCUGAUGUUUUUCAAUGAAUGAGAUCCCCCUCCCAUCUGCAUUACUAUCACUACAGGCUGUCUAUAAAUUGCGAACGAUGGGAGAACCCGUUAAAUUUCACGAGUGUCAUCGACGGCAAAAGAGUGAGUGGAUACGUCCAGCGGAAGACGUCGCACCUGCCAUUCGGCGUCGUUUCUCGUCGGCAGAGGUAACGAACGAGCCGCCGAAGUUGACAGGUAACGCGGGUACUUCGGCGAUGCUAGCCGAGAAGUUUCUUGAGGUGCGUUCGGACCGCUUUAACAAGAGGCUCGGAAAAUCAGAUGGAUAACAGUAAAAACAUGCAAAAAGUACAAUCGGAAAGCGUGCAUUCGUUCAAGGCUAUUCAGCUGUUGAAAGAAUAUGGAGAACCUUGUAAAGUCCGCCCGGGCCUGGUUAGUACAGCUUUAAGAACGCUGAGCAGGAAUCUGUGUCAUCUACCCUGGAAACCCCUGUGCUGAAUAUGUGAGCCGUGUCGUAGCCAGCCAGCCAAUCAGGUGUUUUUCUACUAAAAUGAGUAUCUGAGAUAAAGGUCAUGCAUUCUGCGUGCAUGGAGCAGAAAAAUCGCCAAAUCAUGACCAACCAGGGAUGCAGUAUUCGGAUCGUCCUUCAAAAAAGCAUCAAGAAGGAUUGUUAACAGAAAUAUGCACAGUUCACCAAGGUAGUAUUUCCAACAGCUGGCGAUAAUGCAAAGGGAGAUGGUAAAGGAGAGAAGCAGCCAGCGGUGCUCGCCACUCAACUCUAGUACUGUUUGUUGGAUUGUGGAGAGGUGUUUUUGGCCGUAUCAUACAGGACAGACUGACCUCCCACACAUAAUUACUCAUCUCCUUUCAACACUUGAUAUUUCUCCCUCACUUUCACAGUACAUUUUCAUCAUCUCCGACUACCCUCGUUUCAGCUCUAUGCGUUUCACUUUAGCAGAUUACAGUUGCUCUGAAAUUAUAACCCGAGGCUUCAGAUCCCAAAUCUAAUGUUUCCUUUCAUUCCUAACUGGACUGUCCUUUUGGUCUCUUUUGGUCCUCUAACUAUAUGGGGUAGAAUUUAUUUCAUCCUUCUAUGCUGUAAAACUAGAAAACAAUGUUUCAGGUUUUACAGCACCAUGUAGUUUGCAGUUCACGGGCCUAUAACUAACUAAGGCCCAGAUUUAAUAUGGAUUCAAGAUGGACUGAAUAAUGGCUAAUAAACAUUUAUAGACCGCACACAGUUGCAUAAGAGCAAUACUAUUGACAUAUUACCAAAAUAAAAUGACACAAUAAUGCAUAUAACUUAUUGUAAUGAAACACCACACUAUUAAACACUACUUUAAAAUUACAUGUAGUAUCAUAUUAAACCUAAUGAAAAAAAAAGUAUUAUUUUGCACCUUAGAAAUGUAAUAACUAUAGUUUUUCAGCCUGAAUUACGGACUAGCUUUACUUUAGUAAUGAUUAAAGGGAACCAAUGCGUUAGUUCACUUUAACAGUUCAUUUAUAUAUAGCAAAUAAAACAAUAAAAACACGAUAACAUAAAAAAACAUUACAUUUCGAAAAUGCAUCAUUUACAAUAUACUUCAAUGCAUAUUCAAUAACACGUUUCACUGAGAUUUUAUGUAUGUACUGGGAUACAUAGCCCACUAUUAUGCUAAUCAAGUCUCGCUUCUGAUUAAAUAACACGGCAAAUAA